GGACACACUGCUGGUGAUGUCUCAUCAGGGAGAAUCACCUUUCCAUGUAAGCAGAGCUGAGUCGGGGCUCAUCUGAAAAAAAAUAGAGCUCAUCCAGGAUUUUCAGACUUGUCAACAGCUCCGAAGAUCUCCUCUGCAGACCUGGUGCCCUCUCCAGGAGACCUCAGCCCACCUGGGACCCCAGGCCGUUUACCACCACCCCCAGAGUCCUGUUGAAAAUGUUGACCCUGCCCAGGUUUCCCCCAGCAGAAUCACUUCCAUCCCCAGGGAAGAAGAGCCGGGAGGAGCCGUCAGCAAAGGGUGAGGAAGAGUCGGGGAGAAGGGUCAGGAGGGCUUUGCAGGGAGGAUGCUGCCCCCGAGGGACAGGCCAGCAGGGCUGGUGCUCCUGUCUCUGGGGGGAGGGAAAGGAAAGCGGGGGCUCUGCAGGCGCAGCGUCCGCAGUGGGGGCUGAGCUCAGCAGGGCCCCCGCUCGCUUGUCACAGCCUCUGGCUGUGGGAAAGGCACUGCUGGCCACAGCCAGGCAGCAGUGGCCACCCCAGGCGCGCUGCAAGCCACGGGCCAGGCAGCUCUUGAGCCGCUGUGCCCAGCGCAGAGGAAAGCAGAGGCUGCAAGGAGAGGCUGUGGCCGCAGCGCCCCAAGACAUGCUGGGGCAGGGGGGAUGUGCCAGGCUGUCUCCUUCUGGCCCUGCCUUCCUCCUCCUGCUGCUGCUGGGUGACCUCCCGGCUCCUCACCUCAGCCUUGACUUACUUUCGGCUCAUCCUGGUGACACAGUUCUGGCUGGAUGCUCCAUGCUGAUGGUGUCCCCUGCUACCCGAAUUGUCUUCUGCAAGGAUAGGGUGGAGGAGCACAGCCUGAAAGCCCAGCAGGGCCAGCUGAGCUACUUUGUGCAACUAAAAAUCACGGUGAGGAGCGCAGGGACGUACACGUGUGGGUACCAGCACAGGAACGAGAGCAACUGGGUGAGGAGCUCUGCCCUCAGUGCUCCCCGGGUCCUGAGAGUCACAGGUGAGAUGUGGAACUGGGUAUGGGCAAUUUCAAACCCAGGGCCCGAUAAAAAAAAAAAAGUAAGUAUGGGGAUCUUUUGCUGUCCUGUGUUGUGUCCCUGGGCAGUUGGGAUGCUGGGGGUCAGGAUGCAGUUCAGCCCAGACUUUGCCACUG
rnacentral:lncRNA from 1 species